rnacentral:tRNA from 1 species
GGCGCAGUGGCAGAGUGGUCUAAUGCGAUAGACUAGAACAUCUUUGGACUUGACCAGAGAUCUCUAGCGUAUCUAUUCCCUUCGGGGGCGUCUGUUCGAAUCAGGCCUGCGUCG